rnacentral:snoRNA from 1 species
UCAACGUUGAUGCUAGGCGGGAUCUGUUUCGACAGAACUUGCUUUAGUGUCUGUGUGGCAAAUAGGAGCUGACAAUCCACCAAGGAUGUGAGGUGACCUUUUCCACAACGUUGUACAUUAACUGAUUCUCCUGACUGCUCGCGUCAGAUGAAGAGUCAGCUUCUGCAUAUUCCAUGACCUUCUCGUAGUUGCUAUGUGACUGUGAAAGAGGAGAAAAACCAUGCAGAGGACAUUU